rnacentral:tRNA from 2 species
UCCCUGAUGGUCCAGUGGUUAGGACUUGGUGCUUUCACUGCCAUAGUCCCAGGUUCAAUCCCUGGUCGGGGAA